rnacentral:rRNA from 1 species
GACGAACGCUGGCGGCGUGCUUAACACUUGCAAGUCGAACGGAAAGGCCCUGCUUUUGUGGGGUGCUCGAGUGGCGAACGGGUGAGUAACACGUGAGUAACCUGCCCUUGACUUUGGGAUAACUUCAGGAAACUGGGGCUAAUACCGGAUAGGAGCUCCUGCUGCAUGGUGGGGGUUGGAAAGUUUCGGCGGUUGGGGAUGGACUCGCGGCUUAUCAGCUUGUUGGUGGGGUAGUGGCUUACCAAGGCUUUAACGGGUAGCCGGCCUGAGAGGGUGACCGGCCACAUUGGGACUGAGAUACGGCCCAGACUCCUACGGGAGGCAGCAGUGGGGAAUAUUGCACAAUGGGCGGAAGCCUGAUGCAGCAACGCCGCGUGCGGGAUGACGGCCUUCGGGUUGUAAACCGCUUUCGCCUGUGACGAAGCGUGAGUGACGGUAAUGGGUAAAGAAGCACCGGCUAACUACGUG